CCUACGGGAGGCAGCAGUGAGGCAUAUUGGUCCCUGGGCGCUAUCCUUCACCCGCCCAGUCGCGUUACGGAUGACUGCCCUACGGGUUGUAAACUUCUUUUAUAAAGGAAUAAAGUGAGGCACGUGUGCCUUUUUGUAUGUACUUUAUGAAUAAGGAUCGGCUAACUCCGUGCCAGCAGCCGCGGUAAUACGGAGGAUCCGAGCGUUAUCCGGAUUUAUUGGGUUUAAAGGGAGCGUAGAUGGGUUGUUAAGUCAGUUGUGAAAGUUUGCGGCUCAACCGUAAAAUUGCAAUUGAUACUGGCAGCCUUGAGUACAGUUGAGGUAGGCGGAAUUCGUGGUGUAGCGGUGAAAUGCUUAGAUAUCACGAAGAACUCCGAUUGCGAAGGCAGCUUACUAAACUGCCACUGACAUUGAUGCUCGAAAGUGUGGGUAUCAAACAGGAUUAGAUACCCGAGUAGUC
rnacentral:rRNA from 1 species